UCUCCGUUGGUGAACCAGCGGAGGGAUCAUUACAGAGUUAUCCAACUCCCAAACCCAUGUGAACUUAUCUCUUUGUUGCCUCGGCGCAAGCUACCCGGGACCUCGCGCCCCGGGCGGCCCGCCGCAGGAACCACAAACUCUGUUUUUAGUGGAACUUCUGAGUAUAAAAAACAAAUAAAUCAAAACUUUCAACAACGGAUCUCUUGGUUCUGGCAUCGAUGAAGAACGCAGC
rnacentral:misc_RNA from 1 species